AUUGGUCGUCUUGAAAAAAAACAUAAGGGGUAACACUGUUGUUUUUUAUGGGUCGUCUUGAAAAAAAACAUAAGGGGUAACACUGUCGUUUUUUAUGGGUCGUCUUGAAAAAAAACAUAAGGGGUAACUGUCGUUUUUUAUUGGUCGUCUUGAAAAAAAACAUAAGGGGUAACACUGUCGUUUUUUAUUGGUCGUCUUGAAAAAAAACAUAAGGGGUAACACUGUCGUUGUAGAUGCAUAAAAUGUCAUUGACAACUAUAACUUUCGACCAUAUCAUAGUAAGUGUCUCGGUGGCGCAUGUGAGAGAGCUGUUGGAUAUCAGUUCUGGAGACCUGGGUUCGAGUCCCACCUGACACACUCUCACCUGGAACUCCCUGACACACUCUCACCUGGAAUCCAGGUGGGUGUUCAACAUUUUUGUAGUAAAGUAAAGGAGAAACUUUUAUCAAAACGUCCCCUCCGGGUGUUUGAGCUGUUGAGGAUCUGUUCUGGAGUCAUCGGUCUGACUCCUACGGGGGGGGGUCUUAUGGGAACGACUCUCUGCUGAUUGGGUCCAUUCACUCACACAAUCAUUUCGAAUGACUGUCUGUGGGAAUGGAUGGCUGUGAAUGAGUGCACUCAUUCACAGUCAUCCAUUCUCCCAGACAGUCAUUCCCACUCACCCAUUCAUUCCCAAUGACUGUCAGUGUGAAUCGAUGGCUGUGAAUUAACUGAUUCACAGACACAUCCAUUCACAGAGACAGUCAUUCACACGCAUCCAAUCACCAGAGAGUGAUUCUCACAAAACCCCCAAUUGCAGGAAUCGAACCGGUGUCUCCAGAACAGAUCCUCAACAGCUCUAUCACCUGCGCCACAGAGACACCGACUUAGAAACGGAGAAAGUUCAUUGUUGACCCUACAAUACACAUGACAUUGUUGGAAAAAGUCUCCAAUCCACAGUGAGUGUUCCUGCCAGGACUUGAACCCAGGUCGUAUACACGACUCAAGAACCGAACACAUGCAGCUCUACCCACUGCCCCGCUGAGCCACUGGUUCAGACUUAAUCGGAGUUCAUAAUUGACUUAACAAUUCACAAGAAGCAAUGUCGCGUGAAAUUGAAUGUCAAUUAUAACCUCCAACCACUCAAUAGUAAGUGUCUCGGUGGCGCAUGUGAGAGAGCUGUUGGGUAACAGUCGUGGAGACCGGGGUUCAACUCCCACCUGACACCCUCUCACCUGGGACACACAGACACCCUCCCACCUGCAAUCCAGGUGGGAGUACAACAUUUUGGGUAAACUAUCAGAGCAACGUUUAUCAAAACGUCCCCUCCUCUCGGUAUUUGAGCUGUUGAGGAUCUGUUCUGGAGUCAUCGGUCUGACUCCUACGGUGGGGGGGUCUUAUGGGAACGACUCUCUGCUGAUUGGGUCCAUUCACUCACACAUUCAUUUCGAAUGACUGUCUGUGGGAAUGGAUGGCUGUGAAUGAGUGCACUCAUUCACAGUCAUCCACUCUCCCAGACAGUCAUUCCCACUCGCCCAUUCAUUCCCAAUGACUGUCAGUGUGAAUCGAUGGCUGUGAAUUAAUUGAUUCACAGACACAUCCAUUCACAGAGACAGUCAUUCACACGCAUCCAAUCACCAGAGAGUGAUUCUCACAAAACCCCCAAUUGCAGGAAUCGAACCGGUGUCUCCAGAACAGAUCCUCAACAGCUCUAUCACCUGCGCCACAGAGACACCGACUUAGAAAGGGAGAAAGUUCAUUGUUGACCCUACAAUACACAUGACAUUGUUGGAAAAAGACUCCAAUCCAAGGUGAGUGUUCCUGACAGGAUUUGAACCCAGGUCAUAUUCACGACUCAAGAACAGAACACAUACAGCUCUAUCCACUGCCCCACUGAGCAACUGGUUCAGACUUAAUCAGAGUUCAUAAUUGACUUAACGAUUCACGUCGCGUUAAAUUGAAUGUCAAUUAUAACCUCCAACCACUUAACGAAAAGUGUCUCAGUGGUGUAGUUGUUAGAGCAGGUCACCCUCAUUCUGGAGACAUGGGUUCAAGUCUCUUCAACCACGCUCUCUUCUGAAACCUGAUGUAUUUUGUAUACAACAAAGUAACAUAAAUUAUAAUCCUUAUACCAACCCAAAGAACACCAACAGCUUUACCAACUGAGCAGCUGUGUGUGAUUGUGACGCAGAUUAACAAACUCAAGGAGCUAGGCAAUUAGUGGCUUUCUCCUAUAAUAGGAACAUCUCUUGACUCGUAUUAUUAGAAAACUUGUGAGAAAAAAGGAACAAGACUUAAUUUCACAAGGCUAAAUAAUGAUCAAUAAAAUCGAAAUAUUGACCAGAAUAUGACAUUAUACCACACCUUUCCUGAUAAGUUCCUGAUAGGCUACUGUCCAACUAAUGAAAUGACACAAACUAAACAUGUGCUACCCUAAAAUAUUUUUUUUAAUAGAAAACAUUUAAAUAACUGAAUUUACUGGUUUGAUUAAUUCCGAACUCUGCUUACUGAUUAAAUGUUUGUACUUGUGUGAUUCUUGCACUUGUUGGGUCAUAUCUUCAUGUUGAAUGAGUUUAUGAACUUAUGACAUUGCUUUUGAUAAAAGCGUCAGUGAAAUAAAUGUAAUAAAAAUUUUAAGAAUACAAAUAGGUUUUUCCAGCUUUAAAUGUGAUCUUUAAAUUCUUAGUUAGGCAUAGAUUGUCCCUAAUUUAGAUGAGCUCACAUAAAAAUACAUAGAGUGAAUGACAGAGUGAUGACUCCUUUUUAAUUUCACUGUGUGUAAAAUGUUAUUUUUGCAAACAUGUGACCAAUAAGACUUUGAAUUGAAGUGGUGAUAUUAUGUCACCAGGUGUGUGUGCUUAGCCUCGUCAUGGCUAAUCACACUGACGCCCGGUGGUAAUAUCAACCCUUUAACAAUUGCUUUCUAGCAAGCUGAACAAAACAUGAACUGUAGCAAUAUUCGGUGUUCAUAAAGAACUAAGGUAUUAAAUUGUAAAUCAUUAACAAACCUUAUAAAUAAUAGUAUGAAUCAUCUCAAUAAUCAUUUAUAAAGGAUUAUACAUUUCUCACCACUUCUCUAUGGUUUCAGAGAUACGCUUCUCUGUAUUCCAUUUCCCAGCAUGCUCUGCUCCUCCCAGAGUCACCCAGUGUGUUUGUCUCUCAGGGCUGACCUUUGACCAGUGCCAUAAUGGGUGCCAAGCUAUUGAAGGACUUCAAUAUCGGGGUGAAAUCGACUUCAGUCAAAUGAAGGGCGGAUAAAAAGGCUCAGGUCACAACUGAUCACAAACGGCUGCUCCAAAUACAAGGGUUGAACUGUGUACGUGCGUCAGAUCAUUGGCUGAGGAGGACUGAAGAACCACAGCAAGACCGAGGAAACAUUGUUUAUUUUCCUCCAAUACAAAAAAAGAAAUCACAAAAGGUGUGGGGGCAAAGGCCUUUCAGAUGCGUUUACAAAAACAUACAACAAUUCGUCUGCCUCUCAAAAUUCAUAACAUUGAAAGAAGCUAAUUUAUAGUGUUGUUCCCAUUGGUAAUAUUGAAAAAGGUACACAUUUUCAUUUGGCUUUGUGUGCAAUGCAUUGGGAUUCUCUAUGUGCAUAUUUGUGUGUAUGCAUGUAUUGUGUGUAAAUUACUGCGACAAUACAGCAAACGUGAUAUCAUACUUUUUAUUUUGAGUUUGUGGGUGUGUUGGUUUUAUUUUCAAAUCAAUUGUAAAUUGAACAAAAAAGUGUGACAAACAGUCUUUUGAAUCCUAAUUAAUUGCUACUCUUUCUUUAUCACUUGAGGCCAACUACUGAGUAAAUAUAAUAAUAAAGCAAAGCUAAGCGUUGUUUUUUU